rnacentral:rRNA from 1 species
AUUGAACGCUGGCGGCAUGCCUUACACAUGCAAGUCGAACGGUAACGGGCCUUCGGGUGCCGACGAGUGGCGAACGGGUGAGUAAUGUAUCGGAACGUACCUUUCAGUGGGGGAUAACGUAGCGAAAGUUACGCUAAUACCGCAUAUUCUGUGAGCAGGAAAGCAGGGGAUCGCAAGACCUUGCGCUGAUUGAGCGGCCGAUAUCAGAUUAGCUAGUUGGUGAGGUAAAGGCUCACCAAGGCGACGAUCUGUAGCGGGUCUGAGAGGAUGAUCCGCCACACUGGAACUGAGACACGGUCCAGACUCCUACGGGAGGCAGCAGUGGGGAAUUUUGGACAAUGGGGGCAACCCUGAUCCAGCCAUGCCGCGUGAGUGAAGAAGGCCCUUCGGGUUGGUAAA